UAGGGAAUCUUCCACAAUGGACGCAAGUCUGAUGGAGCAACGCCGCGUGAGUGAAGAAGGUUUUCGGACCGUAAAGCUCUGUUGUUGGUGAAGAAGGAUAGAGGUAGUAACUGGCCUUUAUUUGACGGUAAUCAACCAGAAAGUCACGGCUAACUACGUGCCAGCAGCCGCGGUAAUCGUAGGUGGCAAGCGUUGUCCGGAUUUAUUGGGCGUAAAGCGAGCGCAGGCGGAAGAAUAAGUCUGAUGUGAAAGCCCUCGGCUUAACCGAGGAAUUGCACCGGAAACUGUUUUCUUGAGUGCAGAAGAGGAGAGUAGAACUCCAUGUGUAGCGGUGGAAUGCGUAGAUAUAUGGAAGAAUACCAGUGGCGAAGGCGGCUCUCUGGUCUGCAACUGACGCUGAGGUUCGAAAGCAUGGGUAGCGAACAGGAUUAGAUACCCUGGUAGUCCAUGCCGUAAACGAUGAGUGCUAAGUGUUGGGAGGCUUCCGCCUCUCAGUGCUGCAGCUAACGCAUUAAGCACUCCGCCUGGGGGAGUACGACCGCAAGGUUGAAAC
rnacentral:rRNA from 1 species